UAUACCCCACGCAACUAGUUGCGGAGGGUAUAAUGUUUUUGACCCGUCCGUCCGUCCGUCCGUCUGUCAGUCCGUCAGUCCAUCAGUCCAUCAGUCCUGUUUCUUGUCAUUGCAACUCCUCUCAAACCACACAACAGAAUUUCACGAAACCUUUUUAGAUAAUAAGGACAUACUAUGUAGUUGUGCAUAUCGACAGGAAAUUACGAUUCAAUUCUUUUUCUAGGAGUUACGACCCUUUGAAAUUAUUUACUUUAAUGUACUACUGCAACAGUUUGUCAUCGCAACUCCUCUCAAACCACACAACAGAAUUUCAUGAAACCUUUUCAGAUAAUAAGGACAUACUACGUAGAUGUGCAUAUCGACAGGAAAUUACGAUUCAAUUUUUUUUCCAGGAGUUACGCCCCUUUGAACUUAUUUGCCCAAUAUACUACUGCAACCUUUUGUCAUCGCAACUCCUCUCAAACCACACAACAGAAUUUCAUGAAACUGUGUAGAUAAUAAGGACAUACUAUGUAGAUGUGCAUAUUGAUAGGAAAUUAUGAUUCAAUUUUUUAUACGACCGCAAAAAAAUUUUGUGGUCGUAUAUUGGUAUGACGUUGGCGUCGUCGUCGUCGUCCGGCGUCGUCGUCCGAAGACACAUUGGUUUUCCCACUCUAACUUUAGUUUAAGUGAAUGGAUCUUUUUGAAAUUUUACCAUAAGGUUAAAUACCACAAAAGGAAGGUUGGGAUUGAUUUUGGGGGUUAUGGUACCAACAGUUAAGGGAUUAGGGGCCAAAAAGGGGCCAAAAAUAAGCAUUUUUGUAACUUCCAGACAAUAACUUGUGUGUAAGUGUAUGGAUCUCUCUGACAUUGUACCACAAGGUUCCAUAUCACAAAGGGAAGGCUGUAAUUGAUUUUGGGGGUAAUUGCCUCAAAAUUUUAGGAAUUAGGGGCAAAAAAAGGGGCAAAAAACAAGCAUUUUUCUAGUUUCAUGACAAUAACUUGUGUGUAAGUGUUUGGAUAUUUCUGAAAUUGUACUACAAGGUUCCAUAUCACAAAGAGAAAGCUGGAAUUGAGUUUGGGGGUAAUUGCCCGAAACGUUUAGGAAUUGGGGGCCAAAAAGGGGCCAAAAAUAAGCAUUUUUCUAGUUUCCAGACAAUAACUUGUGUUCAAGUGUAUGGAUCUCUCUGAAAUUGUACUGCAAGGUACCAUACCACAAAGGGAAGGCUGGGAUUGAGUUUGGGGGUGAUGAAUCAUAAGGGGGUUCAAAAAAUUUGGGGGGGGGGAAUUUUUUUUUUUUUUUUUUUAAUUUUUUUAAUUUUUUUUUCUUUUAAA